AGUGAACGCUGGCGGUAGGCCUAACACAUGCAAGUCGAACGGCAGCACAGUAAGAGCUUGCUCUUACGGGUGGCGAGUGGCGGACGGGUGAGGAAUACAUCGGAAUCUACUUUUUCGUGGGGGAUAAUGUAGGGAAACUUACGCUAAUACCGCAUACGACCUACGGGUGAAAGCAGGGGAUCUUCGGACCUUGCGCGAUUGAAUGAGCCGAUGUCGGAUUAGCUAGUUGGCGGGGUAAAGGCCCACCAAGGCGACGAUCCGUAGCUGGUCUGAGAGGAUGAUCAGCCACACUGGAACUGAGACACGUUCCAGACUCCUACGGGAGGCAGCAGUGGGGAAUAUUGGACAAUGGGGGCAAGCCUGAUCCAGCCAUACCGCGUGGGUGAAGAAGGCCUUCGGGUUGGAGAGCCCUUUUGUUGGGAGAGAAAAGCAGCAGGUUAAUACCCCGCUGUUCUGACGGUACCCAAAGAAUAAGCACCGGCUAACUUCGUG
rnacentral:rRNA from 1 species